rnacentral:lncRNA from 13 species
AACCCAGUGCAAUGGUAAUUUGAUUAUGCUGAGGCUGAGAUCAAUCUAAUCUCUGUUGCAGAACACAGAUCAUCAAUUUUGAUUUCACUGACCAAGCACCUUCUCUACUGGGAAGCUUUAUGAAUGAUGGACCACAUCAAUGAACGCUUACUCUGAGAAUUGCUCCAUAUGUUGUAGCACAGGGAUGAUUCACCUCAUUCAUUCAAGGGCUGCUUGAGUGAAGGGAAAGAUUGCUCCUCAAGAAGAGGGUCCCCAUACUGUAUCAAUUCCUGUGACAGACCAUCAGGCUGGAACACAGAAUACAAGGAACAGCUGAGGUUGGUGUGCAAAGGAGGAUAAGAUCUUCAUUUUACUGCUUGAAAGAGAGAGACAUCUACUGUAAACAAUGCUCAGGAAAAAAAGAAGAUCACCCACCACACAAAACUGCCAUGGGCAUCCCUGG